UGGCCACCUCACGUUGAAACACCGGUUACCGUAUGAUCAACGAAGUUAAGCAAUGUCGAUUCUGGUUAGCACCUAGAUGGGUGACCGCUUGGGAAUACCAAGUGCUGAAA